AAAGGCUGCCACCAGCGAAGUCGAGUUGUGUUGGUGAGGGCAUCUUCAGGAAGAAGUAUGUAGUCGUGUCUAACAGAAAUGUAUUUCUGGUAAUCCAUCUCAUGGAGCAAAGUCCAGGUAAUUCCUAUAAUUUACCUAGCAUGUGAUAAAUCCAGGUCUCGUGUCAUCAACAUGCGCAAGCCAUCUUCAUUGAAAAAGAGGUUGUUUCCACUAGAAAGGAUUCCACACUUUCGAGAUGGUUUCCCACCACUCAUU
rnacentral:lncRNA from 1 species